rnacentral:rRNA from 1 species
AUCGAACGCUGGCGGCAGGCCUAACACAUGCAAGUCGAGCGAGCGGCGGACGGGUGGGUAAUGUAUGGGGAUCUGCCCGAUAGAGGGGGAUAACUACGGGAAACGGUGGCUAAUACCGCAUACUAUCCGAUGAACCCACAGGGGAUUAGCUAGUAGGUGGGGUAAAGGCUCACCUAGGCGACGAUCCCUAGCUGGUCUGAGAGGGUGAUCGGCCACACUGGGACUGAGACACGGCCCAGACUCCUACGGGAGGCAGCAGUGGGGAAUAUUGCGCAAUGGACGAAAGCCUGAUGCAGCCAUGCCGCGUGAGUGAAGAAGGUCUUAGGGUCGUAAAACUCUGUUGGUGGGGAGGCGGUAUCUGACGAGAAAGCCACGGCUAACUCCGUGCCAGCAGCCGCGGUAAUUC